CUCACUGUGCAGGUGGGGAAAUUUAGACCCUGAAAAAGGGAUGCCCUGAGAUCACCAUGAGAUUGAGGGGCAAGCAGGGCUCACCCUGACUGGCUCACUUCCCAGGCACCCCCAUGAGCCCAGGCACCGCCUGCCACCCUCACUCUCCAGGAAGAGCCACCGCGUGGUGGCCGGGAUCGUGUGGUGGCCAGGGCGUCUGACCUUGGCUCUCACCCGGAGGCCAUCCAGGUGCUGAGGAUGGCUAACGCUAAGGCCACACAGCCAGGGAGAGGAGGUGGCUCGUGACACCACGAUGGGACACACCCACCUCUGGGAGAGGAGGGUGACUCCGACAGCCCUUGCCUGCCAGGAUGGAGCCUGGACUCUGGAGGGCAUCGUGUCCUGGAGCAGCACCAGCACCUCCUGUUGUCACCAGGCGUGGAUGCCCGCAUCAUGAAAUUCAUGCCUGGGAAGGCGUGGAGGCCGAGACCACCCCCCCUACCCCGCAUCUGUGUAAAACACAAAUAAAGCCAUUGAGAGCAACUGCA
rnacentral:lncRNA from 10 species